UAGGCAAGGCCUCUAUGCACGACAAUCAGUAAUGUGUGUGUCAUUAUACGGAUCAGUUCAUUUGCCGGACACUCAUUUUCCCGACAACUCAUUUCCCCGACGUCACUUACCCGACAACUCAGUUGCCCGACAACUAUUUUGCCCGACACCCUCAGUUGCCCGACAACUCUUUUGCCCGAUACCUUCAGUUGCCUGGCAACUCUUUUGCCAGACACCUUCAGUUGCCCGACAAGUACAUAACGUUCAAAGGACAGACUGGCCGAUUCAGAGACGGAAUGUUACCGGAUGAUACCGUUUCCAGUACUCGUAAACUGACAA
rnacentral:lncRNA from 1 species